ACAAGUGAGGGAGAUUUGGCUGUGCUGUCUCUCACCCCAUAAUGCUCCAGGCUGAUUCAACUGAUAUGGCUACAUGGAGUCUGCUUUCUCCUUCACUACUCCAGGUACCUCUGUUCCAGAGCAGCAUGCUCAGUUGAUAAGAUUGAGUUUUCCUCAUAGAGGAGGAUGGUCAUAGGUGAAGGGCAUGUGAGCAGUUAUACUCUUCUGUUAAAACUUCCAAGCACUCUCAAGAUAUGCUCUCAUGUUUACUGAAUGCCUGUUCCCAUUUCCAUGCUUCAU
ensembl:misc_RNA 7SK 7SK RNA